rnacentral:rRNA from 1 species
GACAGAGGUUGCAAACGUUGUUCGGAAUUACUGGGCCUAAAGCGCACGUAGGCGGUCCGUUAAGUCAUGUGUGAAAUCCCCCGGCUCAACCGGGGAAUUGCGCCUGAUACUGGCGGGCUAGAGGUCGAUAGGGGUGAGCGGAACUCCAGGUGGAGCGGUGAAAUGCGUAGAUAUCUGGAGGAACACCGGUGGCGAAAGCGGCUCACUGGAUCGAAACUGACGCUGAGGUGCGAAAGCUAGGGUAGCAAACGGG